AGAGAGUGUUGGACAGGAAGUUUAAAAUAAGAUUUGGACAAAAUUUAGGUGAUGAAAUUUGAGGUGAAGAUCAAAGGGGCCGUAGCUACCAUCUUCCUAGCUACAUCAAUGGACGACUGAGCCAAAAGUAGGUUUACCCUACUUUCUGUUAAAUAAAUAUGGUCCCAUGCUGGUGCUACAUCCAAAAACUUUCCUACCUUUACUUCUUCCUCUACCCCAACCCCUACUAAUUAUUUUAGGGUUAGGGUUGAAGAUAAUUGAGGAGUACUUGGCAGGAGCAAAGUCGCAUGGGCAGUGAGGUGGUUAUGUAUUGUAUAUUGGUGUUAUCUGAUGGGCCUGGCGUUUUACUCCAUAGAGAUGGGCCCCAUGUGCUACUUCAUCUCCCAGAUAUUUCCUGUCCAUUGAAGCUACGUGUCCAAGGGGUGAGCCUGGGGAUGAUUACAAAUACAAUACAAUUAUGAGAGGUUUUUGUCUUCAGAAAAUAUCAGUUUAUUCGAGUGGAGUGUGGUUUGAUCUCUACCUCUUUAUCCUAUCCCUUGUAAGGAAGUUAGAGUUUUAGAAGAAUAGCUUUAGAGUUGGGGAGUCUUCUGUUACCUCUAAGUUUACAGAAUUACCACUAAAUUUUUUAAUCUAUGGGAGAAGUCUUCUGUUUAUAGAAUUUUAGGUGAGCUUUGUGAUUUUGGGUUUAAUUAGUCCAUUAACAUGAACCUUAGAUGGCCAAAGGGGUGAUCAUCAGAACUAUUUUUCAUUUGAAGAAUGUCUAAAUGCUUAGAUUUUUUUUUAUUUAUCUAAUCUUAAAUGAACAGAUCUACCCUUCUGAAAUUAAAUAUCUAAAACCAAAUUCUAACAAAAACAGAAUUUAAAACAAAUCGCUACAAUAUAAAGUACUUAAAACAAAA
rnacentral:lncRNA from 1 species